rfam:Cavia porcellus supercont2_13 genomic scaffold, whole genome shotgun sequence.
GGGGAUUUAGCUCAGCGGCAUAAGCACCUGCCUUGCAAGCAGGUGGUCGGGAGUUCAAUCCCCG